rnacentral:rRNA from 1 species
AGAGUUUGAUCAUGGCUCAGGACGAACGCUGGCGGCGUGCCUAAUACAUGCAAGUCGAACGCUUCUUUUUCCACCGGAGCUUGCUCCACCGGAAAAAGAAGAGUGGCGAACGGGUGAGUAACACGUGGGUAACCUGCCCAUCAGAAGGGGAUAACACUUGGAAACAGGUGCCAAUACCGUAUAACAAUCGAAACCGCAUGGUUUUGAUUUGAAAGGCGCUUUCGGGUGUCGCUGAUGGAUGGACCCGCGGUGCAUUAGCUAGUUGGUGAGGUAACGGCUCACCAAGGCCACGAUGCAUAGCCGACCUGAGAGGGUGAUCGGCCACAUUGGGACUGAGACACGGCCCAAACUCCUACGGGAGGCAGCAGUAGGGAAUCUUCGGCAAUGGACGAAAGUCUGACCGAGCAACGCCGCGUGAGUGAAGAAGGUUUUCGGAUCGUAAAACUCUGUUGUUAGAGAAGAACAAGGAUGAGAGUAACUGUUCAUCCCUUGACGGUAUCUAACCAGAAAGCCACGGCUAACUACGUGCCAGCAGCCGCGGUAAUACGUAGGUGGCAAGCGUUGUCCGGAUUUAUUGGGCGUAAAGCGAGCGCAGGCGGUUUCUUAAGUCUGAUGUGAAAGCCCCCGGCUCAACCGGGGAGGGUCAUUGGAAACUGGGAGACUUGAGUGCAGAAGAGGAGAGUGGAAUUCCAUGUGUAGCGGUGAAAUGCGUAGAUAUAUGGAGGAACACCAGUGGCGAAGGCGGCUCUCUGGUCUGUAACUGACGCUGAGGCUCGAAAGCGUGGGGAGCAAACAGGAUUAGAUACCCUGGUAGUCCACGCCGUAAACGAUGAGUGCUAAGUGUUGGAGGGUUUCCGCCCUUCAGUGCUGCAGCUAACGCAUUAAGCACUCCGCCUGGGGAGUACGACCGCAAGUUGAAACUCAAAGGAAUUGACGGGGGCCCGCACAAGCGGUGGAGCAUGUGGUUUAAUUCGAAGCAACGCGAAGAACCUUACCAGGUCUUGACAUCCUUUGACCACUCUAGAGAUAGAGCUUCCCCUUCGGGGGCAAAGUGACAGGUGGUGCAUGGUUGUCGUCAGCUCGUGUCGUGAGAUGUUGGGUUAAGUCCCGCAACGAGCGCAACCCUUAUUGUUAGUUGCCAUCAUUCAGUUGGGCACUCUAGCAAGACUGCCGGUGACAAACCGGAGGAAGGUGGGGAUGACGUCAAAUCAUCAUGCCCCUUAUGACCUGGGCUACACACGUGCUACAAUGGGAAGUACAACGAGUCGCGAAGUCGCGAGGCUAAGCUAAUCUCUUAAAGCUUCUCUCAGUUCGGAUUGCAGGCUGCAACUCGCCUGCAUGAAGCCGGAAUCGCUAGUAAUCGCGGAUCAGCACGCCGCGGUGAAUACGUUCCCGGGCCUUGUACACACCGCCCGUCACACCACGAGAGUUUGUAACACCCGAAGUCGGUGAGGUAACCUUUUGGAGCCAGCCGCCUAAGGUGGGAUAGAUGAUUGGGGUGAAGUCGUAACAAGGUAACCGU